AGUGAACGCUGGCGGUAGGCCUAACACAUGCCAGUCGAACGGCAGCACAGUAAGAGCUUGCUCUUACGGGUGGCGAGUGGCGGACGGGUGAGGAAUACAUCGGAAUCUACUUUUUCGUGGGGGAGAACGUAGGGAAACUUACGCUAAUACCGCAUACGACCUACGGGUGAAAGCAGGGGAUCUUCGGACCUUGCGCGAUUGAAGGAGCCGAUGUCGGAUUAGCUAGUUGGCGGGGUAAAGGCCCACCAAGGCGACGAUCCGUAGCUGGUCUGAGAGGAUGAUCAGCCACACUGGAACUGAGACACGGUCCAGACUCCUACGGGAGGCAGCAGUGGGGAAUAUUGGACAAUGGGCGCAAGCCUGAUCCAGCCAUACCGCGUGGGUGAAGAAGGCCUUCGGGUUGUAAAGCACUUUUGUUGGGAAAGAAAAGCAGCAGGUUAAUACCCCGCUGUUCUGACGGUACCCAAAGAAUAAGCACCGGCUAACUUCGUG
rnacentral:rRNA from 1 species